AGCUAGUGUGGCAUAGUGGUUUGAGUGUUAGACUAUGACUCUGGAGACCAAGGUUCAGUUCCCCACUUGGCCA